ensembl:lncRNA
CCCCAGCCUCACUUGGAGCUCCCAGUGCCAUACCUGGGCAGCGGGCAGCACACGGCGCUGGGGCCCUGCAGGCUGCUGGAUGGUGUCACACAGCAGGAGCGGAGCUGCAGCACGGGCUGGAGGCUGCUCUGCACGGCCACGAGAGCCAGGAAGGAGUCCUGGGUGGGGGGCAAGCCCUGCAGCCCCAGGCUGGUGUCUGCCACAGGGCGCAGGGUCAUCCGCACUGUGUAGUUCCCGGAGCCACAGAGCUCAUCGCUGACAACCACAACGCUGCAGGGGAAAGAAGAAACCAGCUGAGCCCAGCCCUGCUGUGCAGCUGCUCAGUGCUAGGGUCGGUUUCCUUGGUGAAACCAAACAGAUCUGCAAGAUGUUUGCAAACAAGUUGAAUGAAAUGAAGAGCAAGUAGACCCUGGUGUGACCAGAACCACCUCCUGCCUCUGCACAGCCACGUGGGGAACAUCCACAUGAUGCUGGAGCGUCUCACUGUGCCAUCAGAUGCUCCCACAUCACAGAGCUGCAUGUAGAGCUGUUUAGGAGGAGAGGCAGAGAGUCAAAGGCUGCUGUGCAAAAGAAAGCCGGGUCUGGAAGGACAGUGCUAACAUCUGAGAUGUAGAAAGAUUACUUAAAAAAAAAAAAAAUUAUGAGGUCACCGCAGAAUGAACUGAGUGCUCUUAAGCCAGCAGUGCAUCACGCCCGUGCUGCUGAGCCCAUGGGCACUGUAGAUGUUAACCCCUCCGCCCUCUGCACAGCAGCAGCUCCCGCACCAACCAAUUACCCGCUCAGCACGGCGCCCUCGGGCUGCACGGCGCUGCGGCGGCGGGGCUCUCCCGGCUGCGACCCCAGCGGUGUGAGGUCGGUCACUGAGCCUUCAGCUGCUUCUUCGGUCACCUCGCGGGGUCCGACCUCCUCCUCUUCCUCGGUGCUCAGGGGCAGCCCCACAGCCGAUCCUGUUGGAGGCGGUCCAGGGCGCUGCCCAGUGGAGCUGUGCCUCUCAAUCACAGCUUCUGCAGACUGCACUGGGGCUAAAGCAGCCUCGCUGCCCUGCACUGCUGCGGGGCGCUGCUCCACCCUCGUGUUAAACACGGCUGCCAAAGGAGUGCUGCUCCCCGCGGGUCCUGUUUUCCUCGCACUCGUGCUGACUUCAGUUGGCUUUGCAUCUUCUCCCACACUGCCCUGUGCUCGGGUGCUCCGGUCGUGUUUCAUGGCUGAUGGCGGGGGAAUGUGCAUGGCCACUGAGGGACGCAGGCUUGCAGGGUGUACAUUCUCGGUGUACAUUCUCGGAUGGGUAACUGCAGCCAGCAGCUUCCCAGACGUUGUUUUCACGUGAACCUUUGCUGAAAAUGGUGACAGCACUGGCGUUGGCGCUGGGGUCUCCACCGCCGCCGGGGGCUUGGGCACGGCGGGUGUGAGCUCCAUGUGCUUGGCAAGGUCAGGGCUUAUAGAAGAGGGUGGGGUUGGUGCUGCCCUGGGCUGCAGAGCCACUCCCGGCCAGGCGGCGCUGCCCGCAGCUGAAUCUCUCCUUUCGCUGCCAGUGGGAGGCGCUGGGGGCAUCCCCAGUACCGUGCCGGGCACAACCCCAGCCGGUGAUGGCAGCCUUUGGAGCGGCUCGGAGCUGAGGAUGCUUUGCGGUGUGGACUGCAAAGGCACAGUGCUUGUGGACACCCUCAAUGGGUAAUUCGUGGUCCUGGCUGAGCGCAGACACUCAGCGCACUGCGCACGGGCAGAGGACGGUGCGGGGGCUGAGCCCUGAACGGCGCCUUGCAGAGCUGCCUCCUUGCUGGGCUCGGCCAGAUCCACUGCCCCUGCGAUGGGAAACGGAGGCUGGGCUGGGAGUGGCGGAUCGGGCAGUCCCACCGCUGGCAGUGACGAAGAAAGCAACUUCCCAGCUGUGAGAGGGCUCCCAGAGGCAUCAGCGGGGAGGAGGAGUGUGCAUGGCCUUGCAGAACAUCCUGCAGAGCAGACGGCCGGGCUGCAUGUCCAGACCCACUUAUGACAGCUGCUGUUGAGUUCCUGCCCUCGCUGCCUGCUGUCCCUCGCUUCAGAGGUAAAAUAGGGGAGAAAUGACCAGCAGUUGUCUGUGUUGUUCUGGAAGGAACUGCAGUAGGGCCCCCUGAAGCUGGCUUUGGUAGGAAUGCAGAAGUGGUGACCUUAGCGCCCACACCCCGAGGCUGUGCAGCUCUGCUGUGGGGCUGUGCCUGGGGGCUCACAUCUCUCAGCCUUUUGCUGGUGGGAGGUGCUGACGGUGGAUUGGUCACCAUCUUCUCUCUGGUGGGAAAUGGAGAUGCUGUUUCUUUUCUGGGAGGAUGGAAAUGUACUGUUGAAGUCAGAGGAGACGUUUCAAGACUUGGUGCCUCCCUCUGCUGGAUGCCCGGGGUGGACAAGGCAGGAGCACCUUGCUGCACCCCUGCACUGGGAAUGGGCUGAGGGGUGCCAGCACCAGAGCUGGCCGGGCUGGUAAUGAUGGCAGCCUUUCCUGAGGGAUGUGGGUGGGUGGCAGCCUGGGACCCCCGUGUGGAGAUGGGGCUGCUUGUGCUGCUCAAGAGCUCAUUAGGAAGUGGCUGUCUGUCCUGAAGCUUUACAGCUGCUGGGUCCCUUCGGUCAGACCCCUCCACGUCCCUCACCAGCUCCACUGGCAACGUGGCUGUUGCUCUUGCAGUCACCUCUGCGUGGCUGGGAAUGAAGUCUGCUGUCACUUCAUUUGUAGGAUCGGCUGCCGGAGUCUGAACAUAAUUGGUCGCCUCACCCAAGUCAUCUUCUGUGACGGACAGCGGACUGCUCCCAGAUAUUGGUUGGGUUUCUCCAGGAAAGCUCAGGUCUGGGGCUCCCCCGACAUGGUGCUCGGCUCUGGGGGCACCUAGCAGACAGAAAUGGAGCUUUGUCUAUUUCCUUGUCCAUCAACUUCCAACAGUUUGCAGCAGCACUUUGCAACAGGCUGAGAGGGAAGCGAAAAGUUAGGGAACUUCUUUGGGAAUAGUGAGCAGAGUAAAGGGGAACCAAAAAGUAGAUAUGGCUAAAAAAUGGAUUCUGAUGGCUGAUGGAGACUGGGAUGUUAAGGCUAUGGAAAUUAUGAAUUAUGACUUUGUCCAAAUAGAUGGAACUUCCAUAGCUUAGCCCCACCUCAGCAAAGCAAUACAAGUGUCUAUAGAUCCGCAUGAACUCAAAUUCUUUAAUGAAUCAAAGUCUCAGAUAAGGAAAGUGCCACAUAUACAUAAACACACCUUUUUGGGGGACCAGUCUCUGCUGUGAGUGACAGCAGCCCUAGGAACUUGCUUGAGGCACAAUAGCAUUACCAACUCAGUUUGCUUUCAUGCUGGCCAGACAGCUGUUCCCAAAGAAGGUUGUGCCCACUCAUCCCCUUACCACACAGCUGAGACCCAUGGCAUCACACCCAGCACUGGAAAGAAGGUGGAAAGACAGCAAAUGGCAUCAGGACAGAACGCAUCACUCACCAGAGAAAUCCAACAGCUCCGAUGCAAUCAGAACAAAAAUGGGAAGCAGGUCCUGCAUUUUGUGAAGCAGCUCCUGAGUCACACCCCAGUAAUGAUGUGUUCAGAGGAGGCAACUUGCUAAGCAGCCAUUGCUGCUUCCCAGCAGAGAGCAUUGGCUGUGUUUGUUCUGGAGGGGCAGAGUAUGGGGUUACUUUAUAAGGGUUUAGGUCAGGCAGCAACCAAUAAUCUUGGUCCAAAAAAAAAAAGAAAAAAGAAAGAUAUUCUGAAGGCUGAACCAAUGGGAAUCAGCUGAUUUUUAACAAAAGAAUACUGUGCUCAUGUGCAUGACAGAGAUGGAAGACCUGAUUGGCAGUGUGCAGGGCAGCACCUCACUUCUGAAGAAAAGUUCAGCGUGCUACCUGAGCCAGGAUCCAAAGCUUUUGACAUCUGUGAGCCAUACACAGAGGGAUGAGCCUGGGUCUCAGGUGGAGGCCCCUCAUAAAGCAAGAUGCCCAGCCCUGUGAGCCCAAAUAACAGCCUUUCCCUCCAUGAGCCCCCCAGGUGUGUUCAGUGGCAGGAAGGAGGUCACAGUUCUGCUUCUGCCAGCACCCCAGGUCUGUAGAGCCCCACCAGGGUUUGUGCCCCAGUUACAGAGCUCAGGCUCAGAUCAAUGGAAGUGGACCCCAGCAAUAUGCUAGUUCUGUCCAGCCCAGAGCAGUCUGAGCCAGCAGCUGAUGUCAUCUGCCUGGAGUCAUGCAACGCCUUGGAUGUGGUCCCAUGCCACAUCUUUAUCUCUAAAUGGAGAGAGAUGGAUUUGAAGGCUGGACUAUGUGUUGGAUAAGGAAUUGGUUGGAUGGUCGCAGCCAGAGGGCUGUUGUCAAUGGCUCCAUGUCCAGGUGGAGGCCGGUGAUGAGUGGUGUCCCCCAGGGGUCCAUCCUGGGACCGGAGCUCUUCAGCAUCUCUAUCAGUGACACAGAUGGUGGGAUAGAGUGCACCCUCAGCAGUUUGCUGAUGACACCGAGCUGAGUGGUGCAGUGGACACAACAGAAGGAAGGGACGCCAUGCAGAGGGACAUUCCAGGGGGAAUGGCUUUUAACUACAAGAGCGGAGAUGUGGGUUAGAUGUGGGGAAGCAAUCCUUUCCUCAGAGGGCGGUGAGGCGCUGGCACUGCUGCCCAGAGAUCUGUGGGUGCCCCAUCCCUGCAGGCACUCAAGGCCAGGUGGGAUGGGGCCCUGGGCAGCCUGAGCUGGUGGGGGGCAGCCCUGCCCAUGGCCGGGGGUGGCACUGGGUGGGCUUUGAGCUCCCCUCCAACCUGAGCUAUUCUAUGAUUAUGAUACAAUUUAAACUCACAUAACAACAAAAGAGAAGGCCAGGGGCUUGUUUGGCAUUCCUGUCCAUCCCUGUUUCCUUUAACAGUGAGCCCUCCUGUCCUUGCAAACGCUCACUUGGAGCUGGCAAGCAGCAUCACAUAGGUGUCCUUUUAGCACCAGGCACCCACACACAUACAGAAGCAAUAGAAACAGUGGGAGAAAGGAAAUUUGGAACACUGCAGGCUGAGGAGAUAAGGGAGAACAUUAUUACAUAGCUGUGAAUGUUGUGAGUGCGGUGGAAAUCGUAUAUAAAAAAUGAGCAACAUUCAGAUAAGCAGCACAACAACAGCUCAGAAGAGCACUGUAAAAGACACCGAGGAAGAGGCGAUCACUCUGGAGGGGAACCAACAAUAAGGCAUUAUCCGUCCUGCAGUGGGCUGAUGAAGUGCAGCCCAGCAGACAGUCCUGACCUGUGCUGACAGCCCCACUGCCCGUCCCGCCCCAUUGCUCACCAAGGUCAUCUCCUUCCCACUGCCACAGCUGUCUGGGAAAGGCACAUAUCCUGACUGGCACCUGGGGCAGCCAAUCCUGGAACACAGGACUAACGUUCCGGUGUUUUUUGGUAAGGCAGUGUUGGUAUUUGUCAAGCUUAAAGUGCAGUACUGCUUACUGGGACUUGAACGCUACACAAAGGUAUCAAAUAUUUGUUACCUAUUUGCCUCGGCUGGGUGUAAUCUAAUGGAAGGGAUUUAAAACCACAGUGAGAUUACUGAUCAGAUGCUUUUCACUUCCAUGGGGGAAAAAACAGGGGCAAGGGAGAUUCUUUCUUCUAAAGUCAGAAGAUUCGGCUGUUGUUCUGAAAAGGAGAUGAUAUCAAGAAGGAGAUGAUAUAUAAUUCAGAGGCUACUGUUCUAAAGGGAUGAGAUUAUGUACAUAGCCCACCACAAGCAUCAAGGAAGCAACUGGAAAAGCUGUUUCAAAGUCAAACACGGCUGACCGUGAUUCAUCGUAAAUGUAAUGCAUCUCCACGUUCAGAACUAAGGCUAAAAUGAAGAAUUGCCUUUAUGGUCACAUCCUGGUCUAGGUGAAGUUCUGCAAGCUUUUACUAGAGAUCUGUAUGUAGGUUCACCUGUUUAUUUUCAAAGAGAACAUUUGUUAAAUUUGAUAGCCUUCAACCAGCAGUGCUAUUGCUGCUCACCAUGAAGAAUCUGCAGGGGAUAACCUUUUCAGAAGCAUCGAAGACAUCCACUAAAGCUAUGGGGCUUUGAUUCACGGAUGAUUAAAGCACACUUCUGGUGCUUUGCCUUCAUGCUAAAGCUCCGUUUUAUAGCAGGCAAUGAACUUCAGCAAUAAAACUGCUACACUUCAGUGCAGAAAGACAGUUCUUCA